AAGGUAAAAGAAAUACAAAGUAACGGUAUGGGUAUCAAUACUUUAACGGCAGGAAUGUUUCGAGGUAUUUUUAAAAAUACGAGAACUAAAUGGACAUUAAUCUUAAAAUAUAUGGAUUAAAUAAGUUUUUAUCCCAUAAAAUUUAGGUGACUUUAGCAUCUUAAAAGAACAAAUUCCCAUUCUUUUGACCCUAAUUUACGAGAAUCUUUUCUUUAACGUUUAUAUAUUCCCAAUAAAAUUUUUAAGAAGGUUAUAACUCAUUUUAAAGGUUGCAUUGUAUAAUCAUCUUAUAAGCACCGAUUGAUGAAAAAAAAUCGUAUAAUCAUCUUAUUAGCACCGAUUAAUGAAAAAACCAACAACUAGUAUUUUAGUCAAGUCUUUUGAGUACUUCACCUUUAUUUAAAAAGAAAAAGAAAAAGAAAAAUUACUGCUGAUUCUGGGGAUUUGCAAUGGCAGAGGCAGAGAUGUUUGAAAAUCUAAGAGCAAAGACAUAUACAUGGAAACUCGAAGUGGUCUUAUUCACACAAUAAACACACACACUCACUCGUGCUGUCUUGGAAACAUAACAGUAUAAAAGCAGCAGCAUGGGAUUUCUAGUCAACACACACUGAACCGAGGACUUUCUGCUCAUGCAUUCAUUUUCGAUUUUGUUAAUUACCAAUAUUUUAUUUUUAUAAUAUUAUUUUUUUAAUCCUCUUAUCUCAUGAUCAUAUUAUUAAACUAGGGUUUUUAAUACAUGCAAUCUCUGUACAGCCGUAUAAGAAAAAAUUACAUAUCCACAUGCAAAUGUUAUAGUGCUUCCCCCACUCCAUGUUCUCCAUGUACUGAAAAUUUGCUGGCAUGUUUGGAAUUUGCUUACAGAAAAUGCCAAUCUAAUUGUCCUUUGCUAAGCACAAGAAAAUUUUUUAAGCAUAAAGCCGUAGGGACUUUGAGCUUAUUGAGGAGAUUUUGAGAAAGAGAGAGACAGAAAGUGUUUAAUUUGGUCGUGCUAAUCCAUAACAUUUUUAGCCAUCUUAAUUUUCUCCAUCUACCCCACAAGAAAAUAGCAAGGAAGUUAAGAGGACCACUAAUAUAUCUUACUUAACAGUAAUUCCUUUUCUGUUAAGGGGCGUUGAAUUGUUUCCUGCCUGAUCCAAACAUGAUUUUUUAAGAUGUUCAAGUACAAUUUAGAGUUUUGGGAGCAAGAUUGGAUGAGUAUUGCCCCGUGUAAAGAAACUUUUAUUGUCCCAAAAUUUUGUAAUAAUUAACUUUUAAGAGUGCAUUUUUAAAAGCUGUUUUUGGAAACGUUAUUCAAUUUUUCUUAUAAUCUUUUAUUUCUUUAUUCCUUUACGGCCAUUAUAUAAAUCCUCAAGUUUAACAGGAAAAAUAAGCACUUAUUUAACUAGAGUUUCCUUUUCUACUUUUUUUUUUUUACCUCCAAUCUCGUACAUUUAACACAACUAGAAAGUUUGCAGAAGAAAAUUUAGAGUGCUUCCGCACAUCCUCACUCCCAUUAGAUACUUGCCAUAUACAUAUUCUAAUCAUUUAAGAGUAAGGGAAAAUUUGAUAAUGUUGUACGUUUUAAAAUAAAUAUUUUUAACUAUGCUGUAAAUAUAAUUAGGUGUGAAGAAAAUCAGUUAAAUGUUU
rnacentral:lncRNA from 1 species